rnacentral:rRNA from 1 species
GACGAACGCUGGCGGCGUGCUUAACACAUGCAAGUCGAACGGAAAGGCCCCUUUGGGGGUACUCGAGUGGCGAACGGGUGCGUAACACGUGAGUAACCUGCCCUUGACUUCGGGAUAACUUCAGGAAACUGGGGCUAAUACCGGAUAGGAAUCCUUGCUGCAUGGUGGGGGUUGGAAAGCUUCGGCGGUUUUGGAUGGACUCGCGGCUUAUCAGCUUGUUGGUGGGGUAGUGGCUUACCAAGGCUUUGACGGGUAGCCGGCCUGAGAGGGCGACCGGCCACAUUGGGACUGAGAUACGGCCCAGACUCCUACGGGAGGCAGCAGGGGGGAAUAUUGCACAAUGGGCGGAAGCCUGAUGCAGCAACGCCGCGUGCGGGAUGACGGCCUUCGGGUUGUAAACCGCUUUCAGCAGGGGCGAAGCUUGUGGUGACGGUACCUGCAGAAGAAGCACCGGCUAACUACGUG